rnacentral:tRNA from 1 species
CAAGGCAGUGGAUUGUGAUC